rnacentral:lncRNA from 1 species
GGUGGCGGCGGCGGCGGUGGCGGCGGCGGCGGGGCUGGCCGAACCGGGGACGGGGCCGGCGCUGCGCCUCGCCCUCAAGCCCCCGGGACCCCCGGGACCACCGGGGGCUGCAUGAAACCACCCCCCUUUCCCCCCCCCGGGACUCCCCCCCCCCAUAACUUAAUGUACAGAAUAAAAAAGAAAUCUAUGGGAUCGUUUCCCCGAGGGGCGCUGCGGAGGCGACCCCAAGAGCCUUUUUGUCACCCAAAGCUGCGUUCGGGACACUCGGGGGUCCCCCGGGACGUCCCCGCGCCCCACCCCGUGUCCUCAAAGCCCCCAGGGACGUCCCCGCGUCCCCUCCCCGCGCCCCCCCGGGGCUCAGCCCAGCUCCUCCCGGCUCUUGCCCACUUUUUUGGGCAUCUUGCGGGCGCCGGCGUCCUCCAGCUCCUUGGCCUGGUAGUAGUGCGGGGCCACCUCCAGCAGCCAGGCGCUGUCGAUCUCGAUCACCUGGGGACAGGGACGAGGACGGGAGGGGGACAGGCAGGGUCACCGGGGGGUCCCCGGUGCUGCCCCGGGUCCCUAAAACCCCAAAGUGCCACUCCCGUCCCCGUCCCACCACCCUCCUCGUCCCCGUACCCAUGCGGUUAUCCCCGUGGCCAUGCCGUUAUCCCCGUAACCGCACCCCUCAGCCCACCGCGGUGUCCCCAGCCCUGUCUCCUUUAUGUCCCCAUGUCCCUAAAACCCCAAAGUGCCACCCCAUCCCCGUCCCACCACCCUCCUCGUCCCCAUAACCAUGUUAUCCCUGUACCUGUGCCGUUAUCCCCAUACCCGUGCCGUUAUCCCCGUACCCGUGCGGUUAUUGCCGUAACCGCACCCCUCAGCCCACCGCGGUGUCCCCAGCCCCAUCCCCUUUUGUCCCCAUGUCCCUAAAACCCCAAAGUGCCACCCCAUCCCCGUCCCACCACCUUCCUUGUCCCCAUAACCAUGUGGUCAUCCCCAUAACCGUGCGGUUAUCCCUGUACCCGUGCCAUUAUCCCCGUAACCGUGCCGUUAGCCCCGUAACCAUGCGGGUAUCACCGUAACCGCACCCCGCAGCCCACCGCAGUGUCCCCAGCCCCGUCCCCUUUAUGUCCCCAUGUCCCUAAAACCCCAAAAUGCCACCCCAUCCCCAUCCCACCGCCCUCCUCGUCCCCAUAACCAUAUGGUUAUCCCCGUACCCAUGCCGUUAGCCCCGUACCUGUGCGGUUAUCCCCGUAACCGCACCCCUCAGCCCACCGCGGUGUCCCCAGCCCCGUCCCCUUUUUGUCC